rnacentral:rRNA from 1 species
UACGGAGGGAGCAAGCGUUACUCGGAAUUAUUGGGCGUAAAGGGCGCGUAGGCGAUUUGAAAAGUCUUGUGUGAAAGCCCCGAGCUUAACUCGGGAAGUGCACAAGAAACUGUUGAAUUUGAGUUCCGGAGAGGAAGGCAGAAUUCCCGGUGUAGCGGUGAAAUGCGUAGAUAUCGGGAGGAAUACCAGUGGCGAAGGCGGCUAACUGGUCCAGCACUGACGCUGAGGUGCGAAAGCGUGGGGAGCAAACAGG